rnacentral:rRNA from 1 species
CCAGUAGCGUAUAUUAAAGUUGUUGCAGUUAAAAAGCUCGUAGUUGAAUUUCGGGGUCAGUAGGUUGGUCAUGCCUCCGGUAUGUACUGGUCUCACUGAUUCCUCCUUCCUGAUGAGCCGUAAUGCCAUUAAUUUGGUGUUGCGAGGAAUCUGGACUGUUACUUUGAAAAAAUUAGAGUGUUUAAAGCAGGCUAACGCUUGAAUACAUUAGCAUGGAAUAAUGAAAUAGGACGUUCGAUCUUAUUUUGUUGGUUUCUAAGAUUGACGUAAUGAUUAAUAGGGAUAGUUGGGGGGCAUUAGUAUUCAAUUGUCAGAGGUGAAAUUCUUGGAUUUAUUGAAGACUAACUACUGCGAAAGCAUUUGCCAAGGAUGUUUUCAUUAAUCAAGAACGAAAGUUAGGGGAUCGAAGACGAUCAGAUACCGUCGUAGUCUUAACCAUAAACUAUGCCGACUAGGGAUCGGAUGAUGUUAAUUUUUUAAUGACUCAUUCGGCGCCUUACG